UUCGGAUCUUAUAAAAACACAGUAUCAAUUUCCUGAAACCCUAACUAUCAUACGCUUCUUCUUCUUCUUGCAUCUCAUUUGAAACCUAAAUCUUCAUCAUCCCUUAAUCCCACAACCCCAACCCUUGUGCUUCUCAAUUAUACUUCAUCUACAUCCAGAUCCCUACUUUCAUUCUCGCUUUUCAGAUCUCAUCACUCCAUCAAUGCCCCAAACUGUUUGACUCUCUCGAUUUCUGUAUCAUCUAACACUCCAGAUCUUCACAGGUGAUGUUGCAUACAGAUCUGAGGUUAUCUUUUCUUGUGGCGUGUGAUUUAUUGGAUUUGUAGUUGAUUGAUUGCUCUUCUAAACAAGGAGAGAUGGAAUCUGAAGGAGAGACUGGGUGUUUUGAUAGGGGUAGAAUAUUUGUUUUUAUCAUAAGUGUUCGCUGAAUUAGAGUUCCGCUCAGAAUCUUUGAUAUUCCGACCAGAAGCUAGGGUUUUGAUGGUAGUUUCCAGCGACACAGAUAAGAUCUCUUUGCUAAAUCUUAUUUCUUUUGUUAAUCGAUCUAUUCUGUGUUAUGUCUUUCUUUGCGAUUUUAUUAAAAUUGGUGCUUUUAACAUAUCAAACUCAUCUUUAAACGAAAAAUAACCUUGAUUAGAUAGGUUUAUUCAAAAUAAGAUCUUUUCAACGAUUUAUGUUCAUCUAUGUCAGAUCGGUGUGUAAAGUUGAAAACUUUUUUUGGUUUUUAUUCUCAGGUGGUGUUUGAGAUUGAAUCUUAAUUGAAAAGGGUUUGUAUUAGAGCUUCCUAGAGCAUUGUCAACCAUUUGCCUAUGAUGGGUUAUUUGUGAUUAUGUUUUCUCUAUGUUAGGUUUAUCCAGGCAAUUAAAAAUAAAAUAGCUUUCAUGACAAAAGUUGUGUUUGAUGUGCUAAUUUUGUAGGAUGCGUUACAUGAUAGUACUGUGUUAAUCAUCAAGCUUGGCUCCAAUCUUUUGAUCUAUCCGAAGUAUUAAUUGUCCAUUAUUCCUGAAGAUAUGGCGGACCUGUCAUUAAACCAAUGAUGGGAUCAAUGCAAGCAUCGUCAAUACUUAUAAAGAAGGCUUCGGCAUAUAAUUUUGUUGGUUCAGCAGUCCUUAACCUUGGCCAAGUUAAUGGCUGGUAACUACUUGGUGAGGUUAUUGCUGGAGAAGAUGAUAGACUCUGCAAAUUCGGCUUAUCUUGGCAUACUAGAAAGGUGGGUGUAUGAAGGACUUAUUGAUGGCCCACAUGACGAGUUCUUCAUUGCUGAGAAGAAAUCUCUUCAAAAGGAGUCUCUUACCCAAGAUUAUGAUGCUAUGUAUUGGAGGCAAAGAUACAGUCUAAAAGAUGAUAUCCGUUUCUUGCAAAUUCGGCCGAAACCAUUUUAACAACAGGGAAAUAUUUAAAUGUCAUGAGAGAAUGUGGCCACACUGGUUGGGUUGGGGGUUGAAAACUUGAAAUGGGCAAUCUUUUGUGUGGGUCAAAACGGGUAGGGUACGUGAACACUUUUUUAAUCGUUUUUUUUUUUACUUUUUUAAAUUAGGGUCAAAACAGAUUUUGUAGGUUGGUUCGACCUAUGAACACUAAUCUAACACUCUUCAUAAGGCGAUUCAAGAGGUUUUGAUGCAUAUAUAUAAUUUUUUUUAAGUUUCAGCUUUCAAUCUGUUUGACUGAUAUGAGAUUUUUCCUUCUUAGUUGGAUACUUUGUAAUCGAAGUUAAUGCUUCAAUAUUCCCCCAAAAAGACUGGAAUGAAGAAAAAGUUGUUUUACGCGGGUCAACCAAUUAGCUGUCAUCCUAAUCCAACUUGACUUGAGCCAUUCUGACUUACUAUCCGUCCUGUCUGAGACACCUAUCUAGCUACCUCUAACAAAUUCACAUGGAUUAUAAUUGUUAUAUUAUUGGAUAAUAAUGUACUUCAAAUACAAAAUAUACAGGUGUAAGGUUAUACAACUGCCUUAUAGUUUAAUACCCCUGAUGGGGAUAUGGUGAUUACUCUUGAUGACUGAUACACUCAAAAUCAUUUGGAGCUCAAUAUGCUAGAUGGAGUGCUGGUCAAUGUCAAGGGAUUGAAUGUUGAUCUAGGCUCAAUUUCAUUGGUUUUUCUCUAUAAAUAUAGUUCCAUUGUUCAAGACGGUAUUAACCAUACUACAUUCAAUGAUGAUUUAGGUAAGUGCCAUUGGUUUUUGUUUAUAAUAUUAAACAAUCCAUGUCAGGUUGAGAUGCAAGAAAUGGGACGGGCCAUGUUAGGAUGAGCCGCAAGAUUUUUUUAGUUAUUGUCCAAGUAACUAAUGCGUAAAUCAUAAUUACAAUAACAAUGUAUGUAGUUAAGACUAAUUAAAAUUCUUGAAUAAAUAUUUUAAGUUUAUCAUCAUAACUUUCUAUGAUCAAGUUGUGAGCCUUUCAACUCAUACCUGUAAUUAUGUUAUGCGUAAAUGCUUAUUUUUUGUGAGUUUUCUUGGAGCAGCAUGUAUUGGAGCAUGAAAAACCACACGAGCACUCAGUAAUAAUUCUGUUGUUCAGAUGAGUCAACAGAAGUUUGCAUCAAAUGUGGUUGAGAAAUGUUUUGACUUUUGGUGAUGCUAGCAAACGCCAACUUCUUGUGAAUAAGUUCAACAAUUAGUUUCUCAACUUGCUGGGACUUUUGCUGUUAGAAAUGAAUCUAACUCUCAAGAAAAUGAAAAGAGGAGUUUAAUGAGUAGGUGUACAUAAAUUAUCUCCCAUUUAAAGGAUGUAGGUUUGAGAUACACUACACUAUAUUUUUUUAUGUUUGGCAUUUAUGUAUAUUAAACUGGUAAACUUUUUUUAAA